rnacentral:rRNA from 1 species
GAUGAACGCUGGCGGCGUGCCUAAUACAUGCAAGUCGAGCGAACGGACGAGAAGCUUGCUUCUCUGAUGUUAGCGGCGGACGGGUGAGUAACACGUGGAUAACCCACCUAUAAGACUGGGAUAACUUCGGGAAACCGGAGCUAAUACCGGAUGAUAUUUUGAACCGCAUGGUUCAAAAGUGAAAGUCGGCCUUGCGGUCUCUUAUAGAUGGUUCUGCGCUGCAUUAGCUAGUUGGUAAGGUAAUGGCUUACCAAGGCAACGAUGCGUAGCCGACCGCAGAGGGUGAUAGGCCACAUUGGAGCAGAAACACGCACCAGACUACUACGGGAGGCAGCAGUAGGGAACCGUCCGCAGUAGGCGAGAGCCUUGCGCAGCGACGCCGCGUGAGUGAUAACAAUCUUCGGAUCGUAAAACUCUGUUAUUGGUGAAGAACAUAUGUGUAAGUAACUGUGCACAUAUUGACGGUAACUAAUCAGAAAGCCACGGCUAACUACGUG